ensembl:lncRNA
CUCUGUUUAGGACAUGAGAUCCUGGCGUUCAUCUUAAACUUUCAUCCCUCGGCCUCUGCCACUGCUUACCUCUGUAAGAAUCAAGGAUCCUGUGUGAUCUGCGAUUUAGCACAGCUGAAGAAACUGAGGUGCAGAGGUUCCAGCAAAUGGCCAGAGUCCCUGUCUGAGGUGAAGCCAGAUCCUGCACCACCGCAUCGAGGACUGGACCCCUCCUGGGCCCCUCCUGGUUUCUAGCACAGAGCUCGGCACUGCAGUUUCUUAGAAGGUCACACCGGGCCAGAGAUAGGAAGUGAGCUUGUCUGCCGCUUGGACACCAGCAGACACAUGAUCCUCCUUGUGAUGAUUCUCUUUUUCCAGUGAGGUUUUGGACAAACUUUCAUUCUAGAAGAGUCUUCAGCUGAGGGACUGUAACUCUAGUGGGUAGGGAGGGUAUUUGGGAAGACAAAAUACACUGUGAAUAAAUUGCUUCUUGGAGUUCCCA